AUGGCUCUCCUUGCAGUGCAAUCGCGAGGCUCCCCCCAUGGCGUGUCCAUGGCGUUGUACACAGUACACCAGCACAAAGAGCAUCCCCGGACACUAGUUCAUCUACUAGGAGACGGUCGGCGCCGGCGCCGGUUGGACGGUGGACAAGGAGACCAUCGACGAUCGACGCUUGAGAUGGAUGAGGGACUGAAUGCGGUGUGCAUGCAUGGUAGAGUGGCGGACGGCUCCAUCGGGCUGCUCGAGAUCCGCGUCAUCCGGCCCGGCACGUCCGAGGAGCUGAUGGACUACGCUAUCUCUCAUGGCGCCUCCAUCAACCAAUACAAGGUGCCCUGGUGCUUGACGUUCCCGCCGAUCAUCGAGCUGCGCAUGCUCCACUCGCGCGUGGUGUCCAUCCAGUUUAGCCCUGCCGUGCGGCACUGGACCCCUACUCCCACCUAA
rnacentral:rRNA from 1 species